rnacentral:tRNA from 1 species
UCCCUGGUGGCUCAGAUGGUAAAGCAUCUGCCUACAAUGCAGGAGACCCAGGUUCAGUCCCUGGGUUGGGAA